CCUGUGCUGCUAUCAGCCACAGGGCUUGAGGAGACAGGACAACCUGUCCUCGCUGUGCGUGAAAGCAGGUUAUCCUCAGUUAGUAGAAAGAAGCUCUGGAGCUGAGCAUCCAAAAGCCAUCCGUUGUCUUUGAAUUGCCACCGUGAGCAGCAGCAGGGAUGACAGGCAGGCAGCACGGUGAAGAAAGUCUCAGUGAGCCUUGCGACACGUGGCUCAGCCUGACCCUUGCUCUGGAGCAGUUGAGGACGUCCGGGAGAGAUUAGCAGUGUUUCCAGUCCGAGUCCCAGCAAGGCCGGAGAACCUGUGCUUUCCUGGCGGUGGAUGCGGCAGAGAGACCUGAUUAACAUGAUGAGGAGCCUACUCAGGGCCAGGCUCUUCUGCCUAAACAUAGAGGCCACCAGGUGAACAAAUGGGCCCCAGCUCCCUGUGGGUGGAGACCAGCCCUCUGUGUGAUUCCUCUCCUCCUAAGGAGGAAACCUGUACCUGGUGAAAAUCUGAGGUUAUACUUAUUAGGAGGUUCUGGAGCAUUUUCUGCAUUUCCUUGCUGAUCCCAGGGGAUGAAUUGGCUCCAAGAAGGAAUGGCAUUCCUUGGACUCUCACCUCGGCAUGCCUUGACUGGAAGCUCUGGCUGUCAGAGGUACCCAGAGAGAGUUUUGUUGAUGAAAACCGUUGCUUGGACUUCUCCCACACAAGUGCUGGAAGAAUGAGCCAUUUGUUUGGAGAAUUGUCUCCUUCCCCAUGGACAGGUGCCACUGUGAGUGAAACCAUCUCAGGCAGCAUACACAGCUCUCACGGACACUGCACAGUGCCGUGGCAAAGAGCAGACUUUGAAGUUCACUAACUGAGGCGAGAUUGCCAGAUAUUUGUGAGCUGAUGGAUAAUUGACAUCAGGAAACAUUCGCAACUGGCUGCUCGUGAAAGCCUUUGAGGAGUUCUGGAGCCUGUGAUUUCCUUCCGACACACCCAAUUUCUAGCAGUAGGAUCAUGGCUUAUGAUCCCCAGAGGGAAGGAAAGGAACCUCAAACCCUGCGUCAAGACAGUGUCAGUGGUUACCUGGCUGUUUACUAUCCAGCUAGAAAACAUUGCAGCAGUCACCCAAAAUCCCCAGGACGUUGUCUGCUGUUUGUAAAAGUCAGCA